GCCCGGCUAGCUCAGUCGGUAGAGCACGAGACUCUUAAUCUUGAGGACGUGGGUUCAUGCCCCACGUUGGGCG
rnacentral:tRNA from 1 species